AGUAACUGCGAGUGAAGCGGGAAGAGCUCAAAUUUGUAAUCUGGCGGUCUCCGGCCGUCCGAGUUGUAAUCUGUAGAGGCGUCGUCCGCGUCGGCCCGUGUACAAGUCUCCUGGAAUGGAGCGUCGUAGAGGGUGAGAAUCCCGUCCAUGACACGGACCGCCGAUGCUCUGUGAGGUGCCCUCAAAGAGUCGCGUUGUUUGGGAAUGCAGCGCAAAAUGGGUGGUAAAUUCCAUCUAAGGCUAAAUAUUGGCGAGAGACCGAUAGCGAACAAGUACCGUGAGGGAAAGAUGAAAAGCACUUUGAAAAGAGAGUUAAACAGUACGUGAAAUCGUUGAAAGGGAAACGCUUGAAGUCAGUCGCGUCUCGAGGCACUCAGCCUGGCUUCGGCUUGGUGUACUUGCCUGGAGAUGGGUCAACGUCAAUUUUGGCUGGCGGACAAGGACAAGGGGAACGUGGCGUUGCUUCGGUGACGUGUUAUAGCCCCUUGUUGAACACGUCAGCUGGGAUUGAGGACUGCAGCAUGUCCCAUGGGGCCGGGGGUUCGCCUCACGUAACGUGCUUAGGAUGUUGGCACAAUGGCUUUAAGCGACCCGUCUUGAAACACGGACCAAGGAGUCUAACAUGCUUGCGAGUGUUCGGGUGGAAAACCCUUGCGCGUAAUGAAAGUGAAAGUUGGGAGCCUCUGCGAGGGGGUGCACCGACGCCCGGCCCUGACGUUCUCUGACGGUGCUGCGGCAGAGCAAGUGUGUUGGGACCCGAAAGAUGGUGAACUAUGCCUGAAUAGGGUGAAGCCAGAGGAAACUCUGSUGGAGGCUCGCAGCGAUUCUGACGUGCAAAUCGAUCGUCAAAUUUGGG
rnacentral:rRNA from 1 species